rnacentral:rRNA from 1 species
GACAGAGGGUGCAAACGUUGUUCGGAAUUACUGGGCGUAAAGCGUGUGUAGGCGGCUAAGUAAGUCGGAUGUGAAAGCCCCGGGCUCAACCCGGGAAGUGCACUCGAUACUGCUUAGCUUGAGUAUCGGAGAGGUUGGUGGAAUUCUCGGUGUAGAGGUGAAAUUCGUAGAUAUCGAGAGGAACACCGGUGGCGAAGGCGGCCAACUGGACAGAUACUGACGCUGAGACACGAAAGCGUGGGGAGCAAACAGG